AUUGAACGCUGGCGGCAUGCCUUACACAUGCAAGUCGAACGGUAACGGGCCUUCGGGUGCCGACGAGUGGCGAACGGGUGAGUAAUACAUCGGAACGUGCCCGAUCGUGGGGGAUAACGAGGCGAAAGCUUUGCUAAUACCGCAUACGAUCUACGGAUGAAAGCAGGGGACCGCAAGGCCUUGCGCGGACGGAGCGGCCGAUGGCAGAUUAGGUAGUUGGUGGGAUAAAAGCUUACCAAGCCGACGAUCUGUAGCUGGUCUGAGAGGAGGAUCAGCCACACUGGGACUGAGACACGGCCCAGACUCCUACGGGAGGCAGCAGUGGGGAAUUUUGGACAAUGGGCGCAAGCCUGAUCCAGCCAUGCCGCGUGCAGGAUGAAGGCCUUCGGGUUGUAAACUGCUUUUGUACGGAACGAAAAGCCUUCUUUUAAUACAGGGGGGUCAUGACGGUACCGUAAGAAUAAGCACCGGCUAACUACGUG
rnacentral:rRNA from 1 species